rnacentral:rRNA from 1 species
CGCAGCUUACCAUGCAGUCGAGCGGUAACAGGGGGUGCUUGCACCCCGCUGACGAGCGGCGGACGGGUGAGUAAUGCAUAGGAAUCUGCCCAGUAGUGGGGGAUAGCCCGGGGAAACCCGGAUUAAUACCGCAUACGCCCUUUGGGGGAAAGCAGGGGAUCUUCGGACCUUGCGCUAUUGGAUGAGCCUAUGUCGGAUUAGCUAGUUGGUGGGGUAAAGGCCUACCAAGGCGACGAUCCGUAGCUGGUCUGAGAGGAUGAUCAGCCACAUCGGGACUGAGACACGGCCCGAACUCCUACGGGAGGCAGCAGUGGGGAAUAUUGGACAAUGGGGGCAACCCUGAUCCAGCCAUGCCGCGUGUGUGAAGAAGGCUUUCGGGUUGUAAAGCACUUUCAGUGAGGAGGAAAACCUUCUGGUUAAUACCCAUGAGGCUUGACGUUACUCACAGAAGAAGCACCGGCUAACUCCGUGCCAGCAGCCGCGGUAAUACGGAGGGUGCAAGCGUUAAUCGGAAUUACUGGGCGUAAAGCGCGCGUAGGUGGUUUGAUAAGCGAGAUGUGAAAGCCCCGGGCUUAACCUGGGAACGGCAUUUCGAACUGUCAGGCUAGAG